CUUUACUUCCAAUCAUUCGAUCCAUCUACAUUAAUUUUUAUUACUAGACUUGCAUCUGAUGACUACAUAGAUUAUAGUCGUCCAAUCACGCGUGGACUUGGUGUCUCACCACCCGAGACGUCAGCAAGUCCAUAUAAGCGUGCGCUGCGCCUAAAUCGAGGUCUUUUUCCAUCUCUCAGACUUGUGAGACGUUACUUCUCUCUUAACAUCUUUCGAUCAAAAGUUUUCUUAUGCCUUUUAGUGUCAAGUGUUCCAUUUCCAAAUCCAUUUCGACAAGUUUCUCAACGUGAAAGUGCAUCAUUGCGCGUUUAAAUGGCAGAACAAUCGAUACAUCGCAAUUCACGCCACGCCACUGUCGAUAUUGUGUGGAAUUUCGACGAACUUUUCAUCCACUCAAUUUCUUUUCCAAACUUUGUGCAACAUUCAACUUUUAUCUCGGAUCAAUAUAGUGAAAAACUUUAUUUAAAUUUUUGCUUCUUUCGUUUUCAACCCAUCACCCGUGGUUCGUUGGUUCUACGUUAAUGAUAACCGGCUGGUGCCGAAAUCGGAUAUUUUGAUCUUUAUUUCCAUCUCAUUACAUUUCUACUCGUAACUAUAACACGAACAAGGUACGAAUUCAAGCACUCUGAUACAUGUUUAUUAUCAAAAAUUUUGUUUAAGAUCGGGUGGAGUGAACUAUGAUAGAACGAAUUUGAAGUAUAGAGGGGUGUGCCAUAUGCACCAAAAAUUAAUUGCGCUCUGGCUUACUUGAUGGCAACGUCUGGACGCGACUAUUCUUGCUGAAGGGGUGUCCAUGUUGUAUGCACAAGAAAUGAAGGCGCUUUCGCCUACUUAAUACGUCUGGAUACGAUGGACCAGCAGACAAGAAGUUUCUAAGAACACCAUUGCUUCCAAUCAUAGAAUCUGCGCUGGGGACGUUUAUGAAUGCAAAAUUACCCUUCCGUGACGUGUGUGGCAUUGGAAUUUGGAGCUCCACGGCAGCGGCAAACAUGUUGAAGUUUUAUUUCAUCGAGAUUGUUCAAGCAGAGGUACAAGUUCUCGACUCGCAAGUUUGCCGAGAAAUAUAACCUAACUAUUUAUGCUGUAAAUUUUUUCAUGACAGGAUGGCCUUUGUACCAAAAUACGCGGAAACCCACCGCACCUAAAUACAAUCCAUUUCGUGAGCAUUUUGCACCAUCUCGCUCGGAGGAGUGAACGAUACUUGAAACCGAAUCUACUGCCAUUGAAGACAUUACUUAUGAAGGUAAAUACACAUUACCGCUGAAAAUAAUUGAGGAUCCCAUGCCACCACAUCAAUAGGAUUCGCACACCUAGGAAUUAAUUCCGGUUUCCUUUACCUCCUUUUCCCCCUUACUCUUAUGUCACAUGAAUAUCCGAGCAAUGUCUAAAUCAGUGUGUUGGAAAUGCCGGGCAAGUUUGAACGCCUUUAGUUUUUGGAUAUGCAACAUUGACAACCCAUAAGUAGUCAUAGUUGCAUGUUUGAUUCAGGCGUUACCAUCAAUGCUGUCCCACAUCGCCUUGCAUCUCGGCGAAUGGGACACCAUUUUCAUUUAUUAAUUUUAGAAUCAUAUUAUUUGCUGUUGGCUGCCUCAUGGAGUUAGGAGAUUUGAUCAAUAUGCGCAUGCUCCUGGUUCCCUUCUUACGGAACUCGAUCUAAAUAUUUAACCGAAAAAGCUUUGCACGUUUAUGUCGUUUACGAUUAAACUACACUUAGGAUUUGGGCAGGGGUUGAAAACGUAUCAAAUUCAUAUUUUUGAGGAUAAAAAUGAUGAGGAAAGUCGAAAUCGGGGGGACUGCGGCCCCUAUCCGACCCUCUAAAUGGCAUGAGAAGAAAAUGAAGGAAAGAGAAGAAAGUGGCUAAAUGGCAGAGAAAAUGGCACGAGGGACCACGACCUUUUAUGGGUAAAAGGGCGAAACAACCUAAGAGAAGAAGGAAAAUGGCAAACUAGAGAAAGAGAAAACUAAACCUAACCUGGAUACCCCCCGCAAAUAUACAACAACUACUCACAUGCUGAUAAUAAGGCUAGAAUGGAUGGCGGCUGGCCAAGUCUAAAGCGUAGGGGGGCGGAAGCCCCAUGGCAAACUCACAUGUCCGCGGCUCAAAAUGUGGUGCUUAGCUAGGCAUACUAAAAGGCGUGGCGACGGCGUAAAAACAUAACUCAAAACUCAUCACAAGUGUGCGAAGGCGUAAAGCUAACUACACGGCGACGGCGUAAUGCAAAUGAGAGAGAAUGAGAACACAAAACACCUGCGACUGCGCGUAAAAGAAAACAGAACUGCUCACUCGUCAAAGUGCUGUCUCGAGUGAUAGCUAAAAACUAAAGAAAAUGAGAGAGAAAGAGAGAGAGAGUGGAAAGCAAAUCAUAAACUUUACCAGGAUGCUGAUGAAAAAAAUGAGCAAAAGAAAAAGACCAAGGUGCUGGAAGAGCAAAAAUCCAAAAGGCAAGGCUAAAAGCUGUGACUGCGCAGUGGUCGAGGAAAGCGAAGGACAAGUCGAAUCGCUAGCAAAACUGGAACUAGUUCGCGAGGCCAAGCUCAAGUCGAGAGCUCCCGAAAAAGUGCAGUUUUCGGAAGGACUCGCUAGAGAGGGCAUAUAAACAAUAAACAUGGCCAAGGUCACGUAACAUCAAAAUAGACGAGUUUUUCAUGUAUUUUUUUAUUUCAAAGGACGCGGACAAAAAAAAGAAGGUGUAACUUAUUCAGAUGAUAAAAUUUGCUUAUUAAUUUCGACGAACGAAUUGUCAAAAAGCACAUCAUCAUCAGUGAAGAAAAAAAUGUAGAGAAAUUUUUUUUACCUUAUCCACGAUUCAUCGUGAAAAGCAUGUCACAUUAUGUAAUGAGCUAAUAUUCUCCAAAAUAAAAGACAUUUUUCCACCAUCCUUUGAUUUAAGUAUGGCACUAUUAAAUCGCUGAAGCACUAAUAUCCGACGAAUUGAGAACAAAAUGUGCCCAACAUCAGUUGUGCACAGAAAACAAUGUACCUACUUUGACUUCAGAGUCCAGCUUCAUACUCUUAAGAAAUAGAUGGAGAGAGAUUAUUUCCUUUAAUUCAUAGCCAGACGAUGUAAAAAGACCUUGAAACAAAAUUUUUUGAGCUCACAAACUA